GCCCGCUUGGCCCAGCGGUACGGCGUGACCUUCCUACGAUGAGUUUACGCUUAAGCUGCUCCUUGAAUUAAGGUUAAGAUCGCGGGUUCGAUCCCCGCAGUGGGUU